UACAGAGGUCUCAAGCGUUUGUUCGGAUUCAUUGGGCGUAAAGGGUGCGUAGGCGGCGCGGUAAGUCGGGUGUGAAAUCUCGGAGCUUAACUCCGAAACUGCAUUCGAUACUGCCGUGCUUUGAGGACUGGAGAGGAGACUGGAAUUUACGGUGUAGCGGUGAAAUGCGUAGAUAUCGUAAGGAAGACCAGGUGGCGAAGGCGGGUCUCGUGGA
rnacentral:rRNA from 1 species